GACGAACGCUGGCGGCGUGCCUAAUACAUGCAAGUCGAACGAACCGCGACUGAGUGCUUGCACUUGGUCAAGGUGAGUGGCGAACGGGUGAGUAACACGUGGGUAACCUACCUCAUAGUGGGGGAUAACAGUCGGAAACGACUGCUAAUACCGCAUAGGACAUAGGAUCACAUGAUCCAGUGAGGAAAGGUGGCGCAAGCUAUCGCUAAGAGAUGGACCCGCGGUGCAUUAGCUAGUUGGUAGGGUAAAGGCCUACCAAGGCGAUGAUGCAUAGCCGACCUGAGAGGGUGAUCGGCCACAUUGGGACUGAGACACGGCCCAAACUCCUACGGGAGGCAGCAGUAGGGAAUCUUCCGCAAUGGACGCAAGUCUGACGGAGCAACGCCGUGUGAGUGAAGAAGGUCUUCGGAUCGUAAAGCUCUGUUGUUAGAGAAGAACAGCGCAUAGAGUAACUGCUAUGCGUGUGACGGUAUCUAACCAGAAAGCCACGGCUAACUACGUG
rnacentral:rRNA from 1 species